UACGAAGGGGGCUAGCGUUGUUCGGAAUUACUGGGCGUAAAGCGUAUGUAGGCGGAUCGUUAAGUCGGGGGUGAAAUCCCGAGGCUCAACCUCGGAACUGCCUUCGAUACUGGCGAUCUUCGAGUCCGGGAGAGGUGAGUGGAACUCCGAGUGUAGAGGUAAAAUUCGUAGAUAUUCGGAAGAACACCAGUGGCGAAGGCGGCUCACUGGCCCGGA
rnacentral:rRNA from 1 species